rnacentral:rRNA from 1 species
GACGAACGCUGGCGGCGUGCUUAACACAUGCAAGUCGAACGGAAAGGCCCUGCUUUUGUGGGGUGCUCGAGUGGCGAACGGGUGAGUAACACGUGAGUAACCUGCCCUUGACUUUGGGAUAACUUCGGGAAACUGGGGCUAAUACCGGAUAGGAGCUCCUGCUGCAUGGUGGGGGUUGGAAAGUUUCGGCGGUUGGGGAUGGACUCGCGGCUUAUCAGCUUGUUGGUGGGGUAGUGGCUUACCAAGGCUUUGACGGGUAGCCGGCCUGAGAGGGUGACCGGCCACAUUGGGACUGAGAUACGGCCAAGACUCAUACGGGAGGCAGCAGUGGGGAAUAUUGCACAAUGGGCGGAAGCCUGAUGCAGCAACGCCGCGUGCGGGAUGACGGCCUUCGGGUUGUAAACCGCUUUCGCCUGUGACGAAGCGUGAGUGACGGUAAUGGGUAAAGAAGCACCGGCUAACUACGUG